rnacentral:rRNA from 1 species
GUGGGGAAUUUUGGACAAUGGGCGCAAGCCUGAUCCAGCAAUGCCGCGUGUGUGAAGAAGGCCUUCGGGUUGUAAAGCACUUUUGUCCGGAAAGAAAUCUCCUGGGUUAAUACCUCGGGGGGAUGACGGUACCGGAAGAAUAAGCACCGGCUAACUACGUGCCAGCAGCCGCGGUAAUACGUAGGGUGCGAGCGUUAAUCGGAAUUACUGGGCGUAAAGCGUGCGCAGGCGGCUAUGCAAGACAGAUGUGAAAUCCCCGGGCUCAACCUGGGAACUGCAUUUGGGAAGGCAGGGCUAGAGAGCGUCAGAGGGAGGUGGAAUUCCGCGUGUAGCAGUGAAAUGCGUAGAGAUGCGGAGGAACACCGAUGGCGAAGGCAGCCUCCUGGGAUGACACUGACGCUCAUGCACGAAAGCGUGGGGAGCAAACAGGAUUAGAUACCCGGGUAGUCC